AACGGCCAUACCAUGCUGAAUAUACCGGUUCUCUGUUAGAUCACCGAAGUCAAGCAUCAUUGGGCGCGGUCAGUACUUGGUUGGGUGACCACCUGGGAACACCGCGUGCCGUU
rnacentral:rRNA from 1 species